UGUAACAGGGUUGAAAUAUUCAUUUCACGGAUUCUGUUCAUGUGUUCUGUUUUAAAUGUUAUUAUUUCCAUAUAACGCAUUGUGUUUACCUGGGUUACUUAUUAAGCUGUGCUCCUGUGGCCAGUCUUAGAGUUAAAGUCAGUCAAGCAUGUGAGUUACACAUGUCCAGUUUAUAUAAUUGUUCAGUCAGGCUUGACCAGUUAUUUUCCCGCCCUUUCCUUUGUCUUCUGGGCACUUCUAACUUGAACACAGAGCUGUACACAUCUACUUUUAAGAUGUACAUUUAUAGUACAGAGUUGCCAUUACUUCAAUAUAAGCAGUAGCACAACACCCGCAGAGAAUUGUAUAAGAUUGAGAGAGAGUUCCGUACACAUUCCACAAAUGGUAAGUGAGAACGAGAAAGAGUUGAGAUCUCAUGUAAUUGUAUGUUUAUGCUGUAUAUGUACCAUUUAUCAUGUUACCAGAUCUUUUAUAUAUAUUUCAUUGUAACUUGUUAAAGGCCACACAUGAUAUGUUUUAUAUAUUUGUUACUUUGCAUAUAAUAAUAUAGUGUCUGAUACCAUGUUUAUAUAUGUUUCAGUGACAUGGAAUUCGUAUAAUAAUAAAGACGAAUACAACAUA